rnacentral:lncRNA from 12 species
AUGCACCAGGAGCCCGAUGUGGGAUUCGAUCCCGGGUCUCCAGGAUCACGCCCUGGGCCAAAGGCAGGCGCUAAACCGCUGCACCACCCACGGAUCCCAAAGAUGACUAUUUUAAAGAUGAUCACUGUGGUUGCUGGCUUCCUGCCUUUUCCUGCCUCACUUCUCCACUACUCUGAGAUUGCUUUCUGCACCUUUCAAAAAAAACCCUUGCACUUGAAUUCUUCCUCGCACAAGAUAACUUGGAAUCUACUUUCAAGACAGCAAAAAGAUGAUCUGGGGGAUUCCUUCCAUAUUGACUCUUUGGAGCUAUCUCAACAUUAUUGAAUACAUGUGUAUUCACUGUUUAUAUUGAGAUUUCCAUGGAUCCUAGCAUGCAUUUCCUCAGCUCCUGCCCAUGAGAGAGAAGACUAAAUCACUGGCAAGUAAUAAUGUUCUAUGAAUUGUGCUUUUCUUUCUCACAGUCAGCCUCUCAGUGGUAAGCUAGUUUUUGAGAGCAAGUUGGACUAUUUUUGAAGCCACAUAAACUAUUUUAGGUGACAAGAGGACCAUUUGGUGCACUGAAGUAGUAAUUUGCUAGUGGCCUAAAAGAAUUAAUGAAGCUUUCAAAGGCAUAUGACAGACUAAAAAGGAUUAUGCACCCAAAAAAUUGUUUUAAUGUAAAUGAAAACAUAACUAAAAAGACAUAUGGUCUGUUCAGAGGAUGCAAAUUAGAAAAAAAAAAUUUCCAAUGGAUAAGAAGAGACUUGGGAAGAAUGAAAACACAGAAAACAAAUUUAUAAAGAUAAGCAGAAUUUUUAUAUAAUUUAUAUAACAUGAUAUGAUGUAGUAUGAUAUAUGAUAUAAUAUAACCUUUAAUGCCAUACAUAAUAAGUCCACAUAAAGUCAUUGACAUGUGGCAGGAAAUGAGUGUGGCAUAAAUCAUUUAAAGCUGGUAUAAAGUUUUCAUGAAAUUUACAUUACAAAUUUCAGAAGUCAUAAUGGAAAACUGCCAUUUUUAAUACCAUAUAGACAUAUAGCUAUGUAAUAUAGAGCUCAAGUAUCGCAUAUACAAUUAUAAAUGUAAAAAGGGAUUUUUUUCUAAAUGAAUGAAUUAGCCUUAUCGAUAGACAAGUUAAUAUUAUUUGAAAGUUGUCAAAAUGAAUAAAAAGGGAUAUACUUUAUAGAGAUACCA